UACGAUAAUUUGGCAACCAAAAAACCCAUCCCCAUGUUGAUAAAUCAUAGCGUGUCGUUAAAAUUUACCCAAAAACACGACAAAAUACACGGCGUGUAAAAUACACGGUAUUUCACGUUUAGCGUGAGCUGGAAAACGGUCAUUAUCAUUUCCGUCUGGGUGCGAAUAAAAAACGAUCGCUACGAGAGCGAAGUGCAGCGCGGCAGUGAAAAUUCCCGGAAAAUUCCGAGAAAAUCGUGUAGGAACUACGACAGCUCUGCAGCACAAACUAAAAGGAAAAGGUAUGUUUGAAUCCGAGCGGCAAAGUGCCAUAAAAAACUGACGAGAAAUCGUAGGUUUCGCUUUAGCUCCGACAAGGCGCCUACCAGCCACGCGGCACGUGCUCGAGGAAGAUUAGAGGGCAGAGCCCCACUGAAAGGUGUUCUCCCGCCCACCUAAAAGGGUGAAUUUGCGCGAGAGGGAAGCGUAAAGCUUCGGAAAAGCAAAAAGAACAAGAGGGUCGCUCAGGCGGCCUUCUUUUAUCCACCAUCAAGCACCUUCGCCUCGGAUACGAGGUUUCCAUCGAUUCCUGCAACUUUUGCCGGAGGAAAGGUGGCAUUUAGCCAUUCAGCAUCUCCGGAACUCUCGGCUGCAACUGCCAGCCUAGCCUCGACCACAACGUGCCCGCGCUGGCAACUUCAAAGGUGGCAAUUAGCCAUUCCACUUCACCGACAGUCUCAACUGCACCUUUCGGCUGCACCUGCAGCGGUGCAAUCAACUGUGGCAUCUGGCCACUUAUUGUCAUCUGCAGCUUCGACUGCACUCUACGGCUGCACCUGCGAUCCUGGAAUCAACUGUGGCAUUUGGCCACUCAUCUUCAUCAACAGUCUCGUCUGCACCCUUCGGCUGCACCUGCAGUGGUGCAAUCAGCGGUG